rnacentral:snoRNA from 1 species
AGCUCAUGGUGAGGACACUUGCGCAAUAAAUCUUUGAAUCAUUCCCAAGCUUCAUAAAAAGGUUCCUUAUCAUACUAAGCAAGAGAUAUAAUAUCUUGCCGAAAUU